rnacentral:lncRNA from 1 species
CAAAAACUUAAAGAGGAAAAAGCAAGUUGCUCCAGAAAAACCUGUAAAGAAGCAAAAGACAGGCGAAACUUGGAGAGCUCUGUCAUCUUCUGACAGAGGAGCAGCAGCAGAGAUGGUAACAUGUUUCAGAUUGGGAAAAUGAGGUACGUUGGCGUUCAAGAUUUUAAAGGCAAAGUGCUAAUUGAUAUUGGAGAAUAUUGGAUGGAUCCUGAAGGUGAAAUGAAACCAGGAAGAAAAGGUAUUUCUUUAAAUCCAGAACAAUGGAGCCAGCUGACAGAACAGAUUUCUGACACUGAUGAUACAGUAAGAAACCUG